ensembl:snoRNA
AUCAUUAUUGUUAUUAUUAUAUUUUUGAGAAGGAAUCUCACUCUGUCGCCCAGGCUGGAGUGCA